rnacentral:rRNA from 1 species
UACGUAGGGCGCAAGCGUUAUCCGGAAUUAUUGGGCGUAAAGAGCUCGUAGGCGGCUUGUCGCGUCUGCCGUGAAAGUCCGGGGCUCAACUCCGGAUCUGCGGUGGGUACGGGGAGACUAGAGUGAUGUAGGGGAGACUGGAAUUCCUGGUGUAGCGGUGAAAUGCGCAGAUAUCAGGAGGAACACCGAUGGCGAAGGCAGGUCUCUGGGCAUUAACUGACGCUGAGGAGCGAAAGCAUGGGGAGCGAACAGG